rnacentral:tRNA from 1 species
GCAGACGUGACCGAGUGGUUAAGGUGCAUGACUCGAACGCGUUCUGCAGCCAGUGCUGGUAUACAUUGCCUCGCGCUGACGCCUCGGUAUCAUGUGGUGUCUCGCCGCGCAGGUUCGAAUCCUGCCGUCUGCG